GGGCCCGUAGCUCAAUUUGGCUAGAGCGUCCGCUUUGCAAGCGGGAGGCUUCGGGUUCAAAUCAUGAGUGGGCCCA
rnacentral:tRNA from 2 species